GAUUAAGUUAUUAAGGGCGCACGGUGGAUGCCUUGGCACUAGAAGCCGAUGAAGGACGUUACUAACGACGAUAUGCUUUGGGGAGCUGUAAGUAAGCUUUGAUCCAGAGAUUUCCGAAUGGGGAAACCCAGCAUGAGUUAUGUCAUGUUAUCGAUAUGUGAAUACAUAGCAUAUCAGAAGGCACACCCGGAGAACUGAAACAUCUUAGUACCCGGAGGAAGAGAAAGAAAAUUCGAUUCCCUUAGUAGCGGCGAGCGAAACGGGAAGAGCCCAAACCAACAAGCUUGCUUGUUGGGGUUGUAGGACACUCUAUACGGAGUUACAAAGGACGACAUUAGACGAAUCAUCUGGAAAGAUGAAUCAAAGAAGGUAAUAAUCCUGUAGUCGAAAAUGUUGUCUCUCUUGAGUGGAUCCUGAGUACGACGGAGCACGUGAAAUUCCGUCGGAAUCUGGGAGGACCAUCUCCUAAGGCUAAAUACUCUCUAGUGACCGAUAGUGAACCAGUACCGUGAGGGAAAGGUGAAAAGCACCCCGGAAGGGGAGUGAAAUAGAACCUGAAACCGUGUGCUUACAAGUAGUCAGAGCCCGUUAAUGGGUGAUGGCGUGCCUUUUGUAGAAUGAACCGGCGAGUUACGAUUUGAUGCAAGGUUAAGCAGUAAAUGUGGAGCCGUAGCGAAAGCGAGUCUGAAUAGGGCGUUUAGUAUUUGGUCGUAGACCCGAAACCAGGUGAUCUACCCUUGGUCAGGUUGAAGUUCAGGUAACACUGAAUGGAGGACCGAACCGACUUACGUUGAAAAGUGAGCGGAUGAACUGAGGGUAGCGGAGAAAUUCCAAUCGAACCUGGAGAUAGCUGGUUCUCUCCGAAAUAGCUUUAGGGCUAGCCUCAAGUGAUGAUUAUUGGAGGUAGAGCACUGUUUGGACGAGGGGCCCCUCUCGGGUUACCGAAUUCAGACAAACUCCGAAUGCCAAUUAAUUUAACUUGGGAGUCAGAACAUGGGUGAUAAGGUCCGUGUUCGAAAGGGAAACAGCCCAGACCACCAGCUAAGGUCCCAAAAUAUAUGUUAAGUGGAAAAGGAUGUGGCGUUGCCCAGACAACUAGGAUGUUGGCUUAGAAGCAGCCAUCAUUUAAAGAGUGCGUAAUAGCUCACUAGUCGAGUGACACUGCGCCGAAAAUGUACCGGGGCUAAACAUAUUACCGAAGCUGUGGAUUGUCCUUUGGACAAUGGUAGGAGAGCGUUCUAAGGGCGUUGAAGCAUGAUCGUAAGGACAUGUGGAGCGCUUAGAAGUGAGAAUGCCGGUGUGAGUAGCGAAAGACGGGUGAGAAUCCCGUCCACCGAUUGACUAAGGUUUCCAGAGGAAGGCUCGUCCGCUCUGGGUUAGUCGGGUCCUAAGCUGAGGCCGACAGGCGUAGGCGAUGGAUAACAGGUUGAUAUUCCUGUACCACCUAUAAUCGUUUUAAUCGAUGGGGGGACGCAGUAGGAUAGGCGAAGCGUGCGAUUGGAUUGCACGUCUAAGCAGUAAGGCUGAGUAUUAGGCAAAUCCGGUACUCGUUAAGGCUGAGCUGUGAUGGGGAGAAGACAUUGAGUCUUCGAGUCGUUGAUUUCACACUGCCGAGAAAAGCCUCUAGAUAGAAAAUAGGUGCCCGUACCGCAAACCGACACAGGUAGUCAAGAUGAGAAUUCUAAGGUGAGCGAGCGAACUCUCGUUAAGGAACUCGGCAAAAUGACCCCGUAACUUCGGGAGAAGGGGUGCUCUUUAGGGUUAACGCCCAGAAGAGCCGCAGUGAAUAGGCCCAAGCGACUGUUUAUCAAAAACACAGGUCUCUGCUAAACCGUAAGGUGAUGUAUAGGGGCUGACGCCUGCCCGGUGCUGGAAGGUUAAGAGGAGUGGUUAGCUUCUGCGAAGCUACGAAUCGAAGCCCCAGUAAACGGCGGCCGUAACUAUAACGGUCCUAAGGUAGCGAAAUUCCUUGUCGGGUAAGUUCCGACCCGCACGAAAGGCGUAACGAUUUGGGCACUGUCUCAACGAGAGACUCGGUGAAAUCAUAGUACCUGUGAAGAUGCAGGUUACCCGCGACAGGACGGAAAGACCCCGUGGAGCUUUACUGUAGCCUGAUAUUGAAAUUCGGCACAGCUUGUACAGGAUAGGUAGGAGCCUUUGAAACGUGAGCGCUAGCUUACGUGGAGGCGCUGGUGGGAUACUACCCUAGCUGUGUUGGCUUUCUAACCCGCACCACUUAUCGUGGUGGGAGACAGUGUCAGGCGGGCAGUUUGACUGGGGCGGUCGCCUCCUAAAAGGUAACGGAGGCGCUCAAAGGUUCCCUCAGAAUGGUUGGAAAUCAUUCAUAGAGUGUAAAGGCAUAAGGGAGCUUGACUGCGAGACCUACAAGUCGAGCAGGGUCGAAAGACGGACUUAGUGAUCCGGUGGUUCCGCAUGGAAGGGCCAUCGCUCAACGGAUAAAAGCUACCCCGGGGAUAACAGGCUUAUCUCCCCAAGAGUUCACAUCGACGGGGAGGUUUGGCACCUCGAUGUCGGCUCAUCGCAUCCUGGGGCUGUAGUCGGUCCCAAGGGUUGGGCUGUUCGCCCAUUAAAGCGGUACGCGAGCUGGGUUCAGAACGUCGUGAGACAGUUCGGUCCCUAUCCGUCGUGGGCGUAGGAAAUUUGAGAGGAGCUGUCCUUAGUACGAGAGGACCGGGAUGGACAUACCUCUGGUGUACCAGUUGUCGUGCCAACGGCAUAGCUGGGUAGCUAUGUGUGGACGGGAUAAGUGCUGAAAGCAUCUAAGCAUGAAGCCCCCCUCAAGAUGAGAUUUCCCAACUUCGGUUAUAAGAUCCCUCAAAGAUGAUGAGGUUAAUAGGUUCGAGGUGGAAGCAUGGUGACAUGUGGAGCUGACGAAUACUAAUCGAUCGAAGACUUAAUCAA
rnacentral:rRNA from 1 species